rnacentral:rRNA from 1 species
CAAUAGCGUAUAUUAAAGUUGUUGCGGUUAAAAAGCUCGUAGUUGGAUUUCUGCUGAGAACGACCGGUCCGCCCUUUGGGUGUGUAUCUGGCUCUUUCUUGGCAUCUUCUUGGUGAACGUUGCUGCACUUGACUGUGUGGAGCGCUACCCAGGACUUUUACUUUGAGGAAAUUAGAGUGUUUCAAGCAGGCAUACGCCUUGAAUACAUUAGCAUGGAAUAAUAAGAUAAGACCUCGGUUCUAUUUUGUUGGUUUCUAGAGCUGAGGUAAUGAUUAAUAGGGAUAGUUGGGGGCAUUCGUAUUUAACUGUCGGAGGUGAAAUUCUUGGAUUUGUUAAAGACGGACUACUGCGAAAGCAUUUGCCAAGGAUGUUUUCAUUG